AGGCUUUGAAACCGGGACGCUAGUUUCGGUGGAGCCGUCCUUGAAAUACCACCCUGGUUUGUUUGAGGUUCUAACCUUGGCCCGUGAAUCCGGGUCGGGGACAGUGCAUGGUAGGCAGUUUGACUGGGGCGGUCUCCUCCCAAAGUGUAACGGAGGAGUUCGAAGGUACGCUUGGUACGGUCGGACAUCGUACCUAAAGUGCAAUGGCAAAAGCGUGCUUAACUGCGAGACCGACAAGUCGAGCAGGUGCGAAAGCAGGACAUAGUGAUCCGGUGGUUCUGUAUGGAAGGGCCAUCGCUCAACGGAUAAAAGGUACUCUAGGGAUAACA
rnacentral:rRNA from 1 species